GACGAACGCUGGCGGCGUGCUUAAUACAUGCAAGUCAACGACUUUUAGAGUAGCAAUAUUCUAAAGGAAGUGGCGCACGGGUGAGUAACACGUAGGUAAUCUGCCUUCAGGACUGACACAACUCGUCGAAAGACGGGCUAAUAUCAGAUAAUGCAGCGGCUCCGCAUGGAGACAGUUGUUAAAGUACAAGCGCCUGAAGAUGAGCCUGCGGUCCAUUAGCUAGUUGGUAGAGUAACAGCCUACCAAGGCAACGAUGGAUAGCUGGUCUGAGAGGAUGAUCAGCCACACUGGAACUGAGACACGGUCCAGACUCCUACGGGAGGCAGCAGUAAGGAAUAUUGCUCAAUGGCCGAAAGGCUGAAGCAGCAACGCCGCGUGAAGGAUGAAUGGCCUUUGGCCUGUAAACUUCUAGUAAAAAGGGAAAACAAAUACAAGGCAUGUCCUGAUUUGAUUGUACCUUUGAAGUAAG
rnacentral:rRNA from 1 species